rnacentral:rRNA from 1 species
GAUGAACGCUGGCGGCGUGCCUAAUACAUGCAAGUCGAGCGAACAGACGAGGAGCUUGCUCCUCUGACGUUAGCGGCGGACGGGUGAGUAACACGUGGAUAACCUACCUAUAAGACUGGGAUAACUUCGGGAAACCGGAGCUAAUACCGGAUAAUAUAUUGAACCGCAUGGUUCAUUAGUGAAAGACGGUUUUGCUGUCACUUAUAGAUGGAUCCGCGCCGCAUUAGCUAGUUGGUAAGGUAACGGCUUACCAAGGCGACGAUGCGUAGCCGACCUGAGAGGGUGAUCGGCCACACUGGAACUGAGACACGGUCCAGACUCCUACGGGAGGCAGCAGUAGGGAAUCUUCCGCAAUGGGCGAAAGCCUGACGGAGCAACGCCGCGUGAGUGAUGAAGGUCUUCGGAUCGUAAAACUCUGUUAUUAGGGAAGAACAAAUGUGUAAGUAACUAUGCACGUCUUGACGGUACCUAAUCAGAAAGCCACGGCUAACUACGUG